rnacentral:rRNA from 1 species
AUUGAACGCUGGCGGCAUGCUUUACACAUGCAAGUCGAACGGUAACAGGCCGCAAGGUGCUGACGAGUGGCGAACGGGUGAGUAAUGCAUCGGAACGUGCCCAGUCGUGGGGGAUAACGCAGCGAAAGCUGUGCUAAUACCGCAUACGAUCUAUGGAUGAAAGCGGGGGACCGUAAGGCCUCGUGCGAUUGGAGCGGCCGAUGUCAGAUUAGGUAGUUGGUGGGGUAAAGGCUAACCAAGCCAACGAUCUGUAGCUGGGCUGAGAGGACGACCAGCCACACUGGGAGUGAGACGCGGCCCAGACUCCUACGGGAGGCAGCAGUGGGGAAUUUUGGACAAUGGGCGCAAGCCUGAUCCAGCAAUGCCGCGUGCAGGAAGAAGGCCUUCGGGUUGUAAACUGCUUUUGUACGGAACGAAAAGGUUUGGGUUAAUACCCUGGGCCGAUGACGGUACCGUAAGAAUAAGCACCGGCUAACUACGUGCCAGCCGCCGCAGUAA